AACGAACGCUGGCGGCAUGCCUAACACAUGCAAGUCGAACGAGACCUUCGGGUCUAGUGGCGCACGGGUGCGUAACGCGUGGGAACCUGCCUUUAGGUUCGGAAUAACUCAGAGAAAUUUGAGCUAAUACCGGAUGAUGUCUUCGGACCAAAGAUUUAUCGCCUUUCGAUGGGCCCGCGUUGGAUUAGCUAGUUGGUGGGGUAAAGGCCUACCAAGGCGACGAUCCAUAGCUGGUCUGAGAGGAUGAUCAGCCACACUGGGACUAAGACACGGCCCAGACUCCUACGGGAGGCAGGAGUGGGGAAUAUUGGACAAUGGGCGAAAGCAUGAUCCAGCAAUGCCGGGUGAGUGAUGAAGGCCUUAGGGUUGUAAAGCUCUUUUAACCGAGAUGAUAAUGACAGUAUCGGGAGAAUAAGCCCCGGCUAACUCCGUG
rnacentral:rRNA from 1 species